rnacentral:rRNA from 1 species
AGUGAACGCUGGCGGAAGGCCUAACACAUGCAAGUCGAACGGCAGCACAGUAUGAGCUUGCUCUUACGGGUGGCGAGUGGCGGACGGGUGAGGAAUACAUCGGAAUCUACUUUUUCGUGGGGGAUAACGUAGGGAAACUUACGCUAAUACCGCAUACGACCUACGGGUGAAAGCAGGGGAUCUUCGGACCUUGCGCGAUUGAAUGAGCCGAUGUCGGAUUAGCUAGUUGGCGGGGUAAAGGCCCACCAAGGCGACGAUCCGUAGCUGGUCUGAGAGGAUGAUCAGCCACACUGGAACUGAGACACGGUCCAGACUCCUACGGGAGGCAGCAGUGGGGAAUAUUGGACAAUGGGCGCAAGCCUGAUCCAGCCAUACCGCGUGGGUGAAGAAGGCCUUCGGGUUGUAAAGCCCUUUUGUUGGGAAAGAAAAGCAGCAGGUUAAUACCCCGCUGUUCUGACGGUACCCAAAGAAUAAGCACCGGCUAACUUCGUG